rnacentral:rRNA from 1 species
UUAGGACCUCCCGCUACAGGGGCGGCCGAUGGCAGAUUAGCUAGUUGGUGGGGUAAAGGCCUACCAAGGCGACGAUCUGUAGCUGGUCUGAGAGGACGACCAGCCACACUGGGAUUGAGACAUGGCCCAGACUCCUACGGGAGGUAGCAGUGGGGAAUUUUGGACAAUGGGGGCAACCCUGAUCCAGCAAUGCCGCGUGUGUGAAGAAGGCCUUCGGGUCGUAAAGCACUUUUGUCCGGAAAGAAAACGCCGUGGUUAAUACCCGUGGCGGCUGACGGUACCGGAAGAAUAAGCACCGGCUAACUACGUGCCAGCAGCCGCGGUACUACGUAGGGUGCAAGCGUUAAUUGGAAUUAUUGGGCGUAAAGCCUGCGCAGGCGGUCCGCUAAGAUAGAUGUGAAGUUCCCGGGCUUAACCUGGGAACUGCAUUUGUGACUGGCGGGCUAGAGUACGGCAGAGGGGGGUAGAAUCCCACGUGUAGCAGUGAAAUGCGUAGAGACGUGGAGGAAUACCGAUGGCGAAGGCAGCCCCCUGGGCCAAUACUGACGCUCAUGCACGAAAGCGUGGGGAGCAAACAGGAUUAGACACCCUGGUAGUCCACGCCCUAAACGAUGUUAACUAGUUGUCGGGUCUUCAUUGACUUGGUAACGUAGCUAACGCGUGAAGUUGACCGCCUGGGGAGUACGGUCGCAAGAUUAAAACUCAAAGGAAUUGACGGGGACUCGCACAAGCGGUGGAUGAUGUGGAUUAAUUCGAUGCAACGCGAAAACCUUACCUACCCUUGACAUGUAUGGAAUCCUGCUGAGAGUGGGAGUGCCCGAAAGGGAGCAUAAUACAGUGCUGCAUGGCUGUCGUCAGCUCGUGUCGUGAGAUGUUGGGUUAAGUCCCGCAACGAGCGCAACCCUUGUCCUA